rnacentral:rRNA from 1 species
UCAAUAAGCGGAGGAAAAGAAACUAACAAGGAUUCCCUUAGUAACGGCGAGUGAAGAGGGAUGAGCUCAAAUUUGUAAUCUGACGUGUCGGAAGGCCGUCCGAGUUGUAGUCUAGAGAAGCGUCUUCCGUGCCGGACCGCAUACAAGUUCCCUGGAAAGGGACAUCGUAGAGGGUGAGAAUCCCGUGUUGCGAYGCGGAUCGCCGGUGCUAUGUGAUGCGCUCUCGAAGAGUCGAGUUGUUUGGGAAUGCAGCUCAAAAUGGGUGGUAAACUCCAUCUAAAGCUAAAUACGGGCGAAAGACCGAUAGCGAACAAGUACCGUGAGGGAAAGAUGAAAAGCACUUUGGAAAGAGAGUUAAAUCAGUACGUGAAAUCGUUGAAAGGGAAACGCUUGGACUCAUGUCACGUCCACCGCGAAUUCAACUUCCGUCUUUGCGGACGGAGGUGCACUUUCCGGUGGACGGGUCAGCAUCGAUUUCGAAAGUCGGACAGGGUCCCAUGGGAACGUGACACUCCCUCACGGGAGGUGUGUUAUUAGCCCGGGGACUCAGCGACGGUUGGGAUCGAGGAACGCAGCGCGCCUUCACAGGCCGGGGGUAAUAACCCACGUAACGCGCUU